rnacentral:lncRNA from 1 species
GGAACUGGAGGGUCAGAAACACAAGUGUGCCCAGGCAGCCAAAGUGUCAAGCAAUCACACUAUUCCAAAGGGGAAAGGCUAAAUGCGCAUGUCACACUCAAAAUACAAUUGUGCUGACAGCAGUUGGAGAAAUGAGUGGCUAUUUUUGACCGAGCUGGUUCUUAAAAUAGGAACGCUCACUUGCCUGGAAUUGGAGGAAGACCACGGAUUCACUUCAAGGCAUACCUCGAAGAUGUUUCAGGUUUGGUUCCAGACUGCUACAAUAAAGUAAAUAUCGCAAUAAGUCUGUCCACGUGCAGUCAAGACUAGCAAUUUGUGAGAUGAACCUGCAGUGACAGCUUUCUGGGUCCAGGAACUUCACCAUCUGUAAUGCUUCCAGAGUUGAAAUGCCUGGGUUUGACUCCUAGCUCCACCAUAUACUUUCCACGUGACCUGGGGAAGGAGCAGGUCUAUUUUCCUCUUCCAGCCUUGCAGUCUCCGUCCAGCACCCCCUGUUGGCAGAACCUCCAAGGAGCCAGCUAACAAAGCAGAAAUGUGCUUCAUGGAGUCCCAGCCCCAACAUUGCAAAGCAGAGAAAAAAGGAGGGGCUUGAAGGUGAAAGAUAACAGCGAAGUAAUUGGUGAGAUUCAUACAUGUUACGUGUAUCAAUAGCUCCUUUGUUUUUAUUGCUGCAUAAUAUCUGGUUGUAUGAAUAUCACAAUUUACCAUUUUCUUGUUGAUGCACAUUUGGAUUGCUUCCAUCUCUUGACUAUUAUGAAUAAUAAUGAGAAUGAACGUUCUUAGACGUGUUUCCUGGUGCACAUGUGUAUAAGUUUCUGGAGUAUAUGCCUAAAAAUGGAGUUGCUGGGCCGUGGGGGAUGCAUAUACUCAACUUUAAUGGAUAAGGCCAAACAGUUGCCCAAAGUGGGUCUACCAAUGGACACACCCACCAGCCAGCGUAUGAGAGUAGCCAGUUCCUACAUGGUCAAGUCAACUCUUGGUGCUGCUGUCAAUCUUUUACGUUUUAGCCAAUCCGAUAUGAGGAUGGGGUAUGUCAUCGUAGUUUUUAUUUUCAUUUUCCUGAGGACUAAUGACAUUGAGUACAUUUUAUAUGUAUUUAUCAGCAAUUUUAAUAUCCUCUUCUGUGACAUGUCUAUUCAAGUCUCUUGUACAUUUUGCUAUUGGACUAUCUUUUUCUAAUUGAUUUGUAGGAAUUCUUUGUAUAUACAGAAUAUGUCUCCUGUCAGUUACAUAAUACACUUUUUCUUUUGUGAUAACUUACCUUUCCCAC